CUUAUUUCGUCCUAAUCAUGCUAUGCUUACAAUACAAGAAGCAGUUGGUUCCACAGUUGCAUGGCCUUCUAAAAAAGUUAUUCCAAGAGAUAUGACAAGCGAAGUAUAAAAGGAUACUUAAGACUCCUUGAAAGUAGUAACUUUGUUUAUUUCUUUGUGUUGAAAGUAGUAACUUUUAGACUCCUUGAAUACUUAAAGAAUAUUUUGUUGUUGAUGACAAUGUUGAAUGUUUUAAACUAAAUUGUGGAUUGUUAAUUCAAU